GUGAUUAAACCGGAGAGCGUCUUCAUUGACCUCUCCAACCCUUCACAUCCACAUACACCCUGUGAACCGUUUGGCUUUGUGAGCUGAAAGUUGAAAGAAUAGGCUUGUUAAAAGUCUAGUCGGACGAUGGACAGAUCGCAAGGUCAUCAUCAUAUACAUACACGAAGUCUAAUGAAUGUAAACGUUUUAUAUAAACAAAAUA
rnacentral:misc_RNA from 1 species